GCUCAGUGGUAGAGUGAUGAACUUUAAGAUUGGUGUGAGGGAAGCAUGGGUUCGAACCCCACUCGGAACUUACAAAAAACUUCAAAGAGCAUCCACUGCAUCAUCAUGUGUGCUUAAAAACACACAACACGGUGAUGGAGCUGCCCAGGGGAGUAGGGGAGGUGAGUGCGCAGCACCUCCCCAACCUUCCCAGGAGAGCAGGGGAGGUGUGUGCACAGCACCUCCCUAGCUUCCCCACCUUUGUCCCACCCCUUGUCCCACCAUAAAAAGUAGAUUCACUGACCACCAAUUUGAUUCCUUCAGCAACAUGAGGAUACACCAGACUUCCUUGAUUAUUUACCCAUACCAUACUUAUCAUGCUUAUCCCAUACCUUGUCUCACCUACAGCAGGAACAUCAGGAGCAGCAGGAAUAUCAGUAGCAGCAGGAACAGCAGGAGCAGCAGGAACAAAAGGAACAUCAGGACUAGCAGGAGCAGCAGGAACAUCAGGAGCAGCAGGGAAACCAGGAGCAGCAGGAACAUCAGGAGAAACAGGAACAUCCACAGGUACAGCAGGAACAUCAGGAGAAGCAGGAACAGCAGGAGCAUUAGAUACAGCAGCAACAACAGAAGCAGCAAGAACAUCAGGUGCAGCAGGAACAUCAGGACCACUAGGAGCAGCAGGAGAAGCAGCAGGAGCGACAGAAACAUCAGGAACAGCAGGAAUAUUAGGAGCAGCAGGAAUAUCAGUAGCAGCAGGAGCAGCAGGAACAAAAGGAACAUCAGGACUAGCAGGAGUAGCAGGAACAUCAGGAGCAGCAGGAAAACCAGGAGCAGCAGGAACAUCAGGAGAAACAGGAACAUCCACAGGUACAGCAGGAACAUCAGGAGAAGCAGGAACAGCAGGAGCAUUAGAUACAGCAGCAACAACAGAAGCAGCAAGAACAUCAGGUGCAGCAGGAACAUCAGGACCACUAGGAGCAGCAGCAGGAGCAGCAGGAACAUCAUGAGCAGCAGGAGCGACAGGAACAUCAGGAACAGCAGGAAUAUUAGGAGCAGCAGGAAUAUCAGUAGCAGCAGGAACAAAAGGAACAUCAGGAAUAGCAGGAGCAGCAGGAACAUCAGGAGCAGCAGGAAAACCAGGAGCAGCAGGAACAUCAGGAGAAACAGGAACAUCCACAGGAACAAAAGGAACAUCAGGACUAGCAGGAGCAGCAGGAACAUCAGGAGCAGCAGGAAAACCAGGAGCAGCAGGAACAUCAGGAGAAACAGGAACAUCCACAGGAACAAAAGGAACAUCAGGACUAGCAGGAGCAGCAGGAACAUCAGGAGCAGCAGGAAAACCAGGAGCAGCAGGAACAUCAGGAGAAACAGGAACAUCCACAGGAACAAAAGGAACAUCAGGACUAGCAGGAGCAGCAGGAACAUCAGGAGCAGCAGGAAAACCAGGAGCAGCAGGAACAUCAGGAGAAACAAGAACAUCCACAGCAGGAGCAGCAGGAACAUCAUGAGCAGCAGGAGCGACAGGAACAUCAGGAACAGGAGGAAUAUUAGGAGCAGCAGGAAUAUCAGUAGCAGCAGGAACAAAAGGAACAUCAGGACUAGCAGGAGUAGCAGGAACAUCAGGAGCAGCAGGAAAACCAGGAGCAGCAGGAACAUCAGGAGAAACAGGAACAUCCACAGGUACAGCAGGAACAUCAGGAGAAGCAGGAACAGCAGGAGCAUUAGAUACAGCAGCAACAACAGAAGCAGCAAGAACAUCAGGUGCAGCAGGAACAUCAGGACCACUAGGAGCAGCAGGAGAAGCAGCAAGAACAUCAUGAGCAGCAGGAGCGACAGAAACAUCAGGAACAGCAGAAAUAUUAGGAGCAGCAGGAAUAUCAGUAGCAGCAGGAGCAGCAGAACAAAAGGAACAUCAGGACUAGCAGGAGCAGCAGGAACAUCAGGAGCAGCAGGAGAACCAGGAGCAGCAGGAACAUCAGGAGAAACAGGAACAUCCACAGGUGAGUGCACAACACCUCCCUACCCUUCCCAGACUUAUCCCAUCCCUUGUUUCAUCCACAGCCAGAACAUCAGAAGCAGCAGGAGCAGCAGAUACAAAAGGAGCAUCAGGAGCAGCAGGUGAGUGCACAACUCCUCCCUACCCUUCCCAUCCCUUGUCUCAGUCACAGCAGGUACAGCAGGAACAUCAGGAGCACCAGGAACAGCAGGACCAGCGGACAAAGCAAGAAAAUUAGGAGCAGUAAGAACAUCAGGUGCAGCAGGAAAAUCAAGACCAAUCAAUAGGAGCAGCAGGUGAGUGCAUAAAACAUUUCUCUUCCAUUGCUUAUCAUAUCCCUAGUCUCACCCACAGCAGGAAAAGCAGAAACAUCAGGAGCAGCUGGAGCAGCAGGAACAUCAGGAGUAACAGGAACAUCAGGAGUAACAGGAACAUAAGAAGCAGCAGGAGCAGCAGGAACAGCAGGAGCAUCAGGAACACAGGGAACGGUAAAGCAACAACAUCAGAAGCAGCAGGAACAUCAGGAGCAGCAGGUGAGUGCGCAACACCUCCCCACACAUCCCAUACUUAUCCCAUCCCUUGUCUCACCCACUGCAGGUACAGCAGGAACAUCAGGAGAAGCAGGAACAGCAGGAGCAUUAGAUACAGCAGCAACAACAGAAGCAGCAAGAACAUCAGGUGCAGCAGGAACAUCAGGACCACUAGGAGCAGCAGGUGAGUGCACAACACCUCCCUACCCUUCCCAUACUUAUCACAUCCCCUUUCUCACCCACAGCAAGAACAGAAGGGCAGCAGAUACAGCAGGAAAGUAAGGAGCAGCAGGAAUAUGAGGAAGAUCAGGAGCAGCAGGAACAUCAGGAGCAGCAGGAACAUCAGGAGCAACAGGAACAUCAGGAGCAACAGGAACAUCAGGAGCAGCAGGAACAUCAGGAGCAGCAGGAACAUCAGGACCACUAAGAGCAGCAGGUGAGUGCGCAACACCUCCCUACCCUUCCCAUACUUAUCACAUCACCUGUCUCACCCACAGCAAGAACAGAAGGGCAGCAGAUACAGCAGGAAAGUAAGGAGCAGUAUGAGCAACAGUAGCAUCAGGAGCAGCAGGAACAUCAGGAGCAGCAGGAACAUCAGGAGCAACAGGAACAUCAGGAGCAGCAGGAACAUCAGGAGCAGCAGGAACAUCAGGACUACUAAGAGCAGCAGGUGAGUGCACAACACCUCCCUACCCUUCCCAUACUUAUCACAUCACCUGUCUCACCCACAGCAAGAACAGAAGGGCAGCAGAUACAGCAGGAAAGUAAGGAGCAGUAUGAGCAACAGUAGCAUCAGGAGCAGCAGGAACAUCAGGAGCAGCAUGAGCAGCAGGUGAGUGCAAAACACCUUCUUACCUUUCCCAUACUUAUCCCAUCAUUUGUCUCACCCACAGCAGGUACAGCAGGAGCAGCAGAUACAGCAGGAACAUCAGGAACAGCAGGAGUAGCAGGUGAGUGCUCAACACCUCGUUACCCUUACCAUACUCAUCCCAUCCUUUGUCUCACCAACAAAG